GCCAAUGACUUAAUCAAUCAAGCUUAUGUAAUGAAGCCUCCAUAAAACCCCCAGAGGAUGGGAUUCAGAGAACUUCCCGGUUGGUGAACAUGUGGAGAUGCUGGGAGAAUGGUGCGCAUGGACAGGGCAUGGAAGCUCUGCACCAUUUCCUCACACCUUGCUCUGCGCAUCUCUUCCAUCUGCCUGUUGCUGACUUAUAUCCUUUUACAAUAAACCAAUGAUCUAAUGAGAGAACCAAUGAUCAGAAGGUUACUCAGCAUCAUACGGUUAAUGAGAGCCUCUUGUCUUGGUGAAGACUGAUCCGUGGAAGCGAUUGCUGAGCCUGGCUCCUCGGCAUGAGAGCUCUGUUACGUAGACCAACCGAAUACUCGAGAAACACAGUCACGGCAGCAGAGGACAGGCAAUGAGCCAGGAAGACGUGUCUGUGACUAGACUGGAAGCUGCAAAUUCUUCCGUGGUUUUUAUGUUCUGACUUCUAGCCAGUCUUCUGUCGGUUACUCUGAAUUGAGUACUCAAUUGUACUUGAAUUUAUGCUCUUAACACUGGUUUUGUGGAUUGUCCCUAUAUAUUUGUAUAUUUAAAUUGAAGUAGUAGCUAAUGAGAUAUUCACAUUGCAACACAAUUCAGUCUGUACAAAAAGACAAACAUUGGAAAUCAAUCUCCCUUUUCUCCCUGACCUUUAGGUGAUUAAAGAAGACAGUUUGGUCAUAGAAGCAAACUUUAUUUAACACUUCAUGAAACGGGCGGUCUCUGUCCCCAGGGUCCAGAGAAAUGGCAUGGAAGACAGGAAGCUUUCACAGGAAAGAAUAAAGAACAUGGAAGCGAGCACAGGGCCUGGGGUUGGCUUGGUGUUUGAGGACUGACGACUGGACAUACUGCAUUUCUGGUCAAGCAGAUCAUUUACAGGGACAUGAAUAUUAUCAAAGUUCCGUUUUGCUGACGUGGUCCCCCGGAUGAGAGUGGCUCCAUCUUGGGCCUAGAAAUUUAUCUCAACACCUUAAUCCCCACUGUUUAGAGACCACCACUGUUGUCAGUUUCUUGUGUACUCUUCCAGAAACAUUCUAUGCAGCAUCCGUGCUUCAGUUUAUUAAUACUCAAAAUGGAGUGAGAAAAGUGCGUCUCAGCAGGCUCACGUGAGGAUUAUGUGCAUUAACACAUGGAACAUCGCUUACAGUGGUGCCAGGUACAUACCAUGAAUUUCAUGAUUUUUUAAAAUUAUUAUGCAUAUAUUAGAAUGAAGAUUGUAUAUCAAGGCUGUCCAAAUAGAAAUAUAAUGUAAGCCACACAUGUACUAUUAAAUUUAUUAGUAGCCACUUUAAAAAAAUAAAAAGACACAGGUGAAAAAGUUUUAGUAAUAUAUUUUAUUUACCUCACUACAUCCCAAAUAAUAUCAUUUCAAUGUGUAAUCAAUGUAAAUAUAUUUUAAUGUGAUAUUUUAUAGUCUUUUUUAGUAUUAAUUCUUUGAAAUUCUGUGUGCAUUUCAUGCUUACAGAAACCUCAACUGGCACUAGCCCCAGUUCAACUGCCCACUGGCUACAUGUGGCUAGCAGCUACAGUAGUGGACAGAGCAGGUCUACAUAUCAAUCUGUAAACUUGUCAUUGUUUUUUACUCUAUUCAAAUAAUACCAUUCCUUGUUCACCUGGGUAUCAUAAAAUAUUAAUAUUUUGGAUGAAUUUGGAGAGAAACAAAUUAUACCUAAAAUUACGUCAUUUUAGAAUUUCAAAUGCCUACUACAAAAAUUGGAUUCUAAAAUGCUUAAUAUGAUGUAAAGAACAAGGGCUUCUCAUUGUUCUUAGGGAAAAGACUCAAUUCCUCACUGUGGCCCACUGCAGGGACUGCCUGCCUUGCCUGCCCCCUGCUGGUUCUGCUCCAGCCGUGCUCAGGGGUGCUGUGGGGUUCUUCCCAUGGGUUCUUUCCAGUGAGCCUUCUCUCUCUGCCGGGGCACUUCCUUCCUCUGACCUUCAACGUGCACGCAUACUCCCCCCUUGCCUAGUAUGUAAUGUAUGAAUCACUCUAAAGGAAAAUAUAUGUAUCUUGAUUUAAAUUAUUUUAUUUUAAUAUAAAAUAGUACAAACAUAAAAUUGUAACUCCUUAUGUUGACAGUUCAUAUGCAACGUCACAUCCAAAAUAAAAACUGUAACUAAAAAGAAUGAAAUUAUGUAAUUACUAAAAACGUAUAGAAGUGUUUAUUGUAAAAAAAAAAAAAAUUCUCCUUCCCACCCAUUGUCUCAGCCUUGAAGUUUCCUUUCCCAAAGAAUGAUAUAUCUAGAUAUCUACACCUAUACCUAUACCUAUCUAUACCUAUAUCAUCUCCAGAUAUAUAUAGGUUAUUUAGACUUUGUUUAUUUUUACACAGAUUUGCUGCAUUCUUUUCCAAAUAACAAUUCACAUUAUUGAUUUAGUGGGAUAGACGAUGUUUUGUUGAAUUCACAAUUGCCCAGGUUCUUUUGAGUUCAGCAUGACCGGUCCACAGGUGCUCUGUGAUGACACUUCACCCAUCACUCCCCUCUAUGUGAACUACCGGGAAAACCUUCAUUCUUGCAGCGUCAUGGUGGACAUUUGAUCUCCGCUUGGCAGGAAUGCAGAUAGACACAUUAAGUCAGUCUCUGUUCUUUUCACAUUAGCCCGAGACAAUUAGAGUCACACUACUUGUGGCCAACUCAAUCAAAAACACACAUGUUCAACUCGGGCUUUUAAAGCUUUGGGCAGACAUCAGCUGUUAAAAAAGAACGAUCAAAAAAACGUUUCUGGGGCCGCCCCGUGGCUUAGCGGUUAAGUGCGCGCGCUCUGCUGCUGGGGGCCCCGGUUCGGAUCCCGGGUGCGCACCGACGCACCGCUCCUCCGGCCAUGCUGAGGCCGCGUCCCACAUACGGCAACUAGAAGGAUGUGCAGCUAUGACAGACAAUUAUCUACUGGGGCUUUGGGGGAAAAAUAAAUAAAUAAAAUCUUUAAAAAAAAAAAAG